rnacentral:rRNA from 1 species
UAAGACAGAGGUGCCAAGCGUUAGGCGGAAUCACUGGGCUUAAAGCGUGUGUAGGCGGAUCGUUAAGUACCUUGUGAAAUCCCACGGCUCAACCGUGGAACUGCUCGGUAUACUGGCGGUCUUGAGCCACCUAGGGGCAACUGGAACAAGCGGUGGAGCGGUGAAAUGCGUAGAUAUCGCUUGGAACGCCAACGGUGAAAACAGGUUGCUGGGGGUGUGCUGACGCUGAGACACGAAAGCCAGGGGAGCGAACGGGAUUAGAUACCCCGGUAGUCCUGGCCCUAAACGAUGUCGACUAGAUCGUAGUGCCUCUGACGGUAUUACGGUCGAAGCAAAAGUGCUAAGUCGACCGCCUGGGAAGUACGGUCGCAAGGCUA